GGACUUACCUCUCCUUCAGCUUUGUAAAUGGUUUCUCUCAUCCCCCAGAAGAACCGGUGAAGAAAUCCAUUCAGGAAUCAGAAGCUUUUUUGCCUCAGAGCGUACCUGAAGAGAGAUACAAGAUGAAGAGCAAGCCCCUAGGAAUCUGCCUGAUAAUCGAUUGCAUUGGCAAUGAGACAGGUAGGUGUAGAAGCUGCAGAUUAACUGGUGCCCCCAGAUUGAGAUCAUGGCACAGGCAAGCUGUAUUCAUUAGAGUGAUCAGCACCAACUGCCGUGACAAACCAGUUCAAGAAUCUGUGCUUCAGGCUGGGUGCGCUGGCUCAUGCCUGGAAUUCCAGCACUUUGUGAGGCUGAGAUGGGAGGAUCACUUGAGCCCAGUUAAAAAUUAGCUGGUGUGGGCCGGGCAUGGUGGCUCGCACCUGUAAUCCCAGCACUUUGGGAGACAGAGGCAGGCGGAUCAUGAGGUCAGGAGUUCAAGAUCAACCUGGCCAAUAUGGUGAAACCCCAUCUCUACUAAAAGUACAAAAAUUAGCUGGGCAUGGUGGCGGGCGCCUGUAGUCCCAGCUACUUGGGAGGCUGAGGCAGAAGAAUUGCUUGAACCUGGGAGGCAGAGCUUGCAGUGAGCCGAGAUCGCGCCACUGCACUCCAGCCUGGGUGACAGAGCAAGAUUCCUCAAAAAAAAAAAAAAAAUUAGCUGG
rnacentral:sRNA from 1 species